UUCUCAUUAUUCCCAAGAGAUUCCCAUAUUGCCAUAGCAAUACAUUACCUACCCCAACCCCCGCUCCACACACGAAACAUCCGGAGCAAACCGAACCACCGUCAUAUGCAAAUAAAGGUGGCCAUAACAGAAGAAUUACUCGCAUGGCGGCGCAGGGUAACUAGGGAAAUGACAACAAAUAUGAAAAUUAUUUUUAAUCGUGGCCAAUUGGCGUGGACGUUACGCUGGCCCUGUAACCACUGGGCCGGGGCUGGCCAACCGUGGAGGUAAUUAAACGGUACAGACAUGUCACUGUUCUGAUGGACCGUAGAUGAAGGUACUUGAGUGGAUGCAGCUAAAUGCAUAAUGACGUGAUUGACGUGGUUGUUGUUAGUACUUAGGUACGUACUGAGUGUAGCUCGCGGCUACUGGGAUCCAUGGCACAUUUGUAAUUGCACAGGAUUGUGAUUAUGGAUUGUGAUGCAUCUUAUAUUAAUAAUAGAUAAUAUGGUUGGGUAUUCACUAAGGAAUAAAAGAUUUAUACUUCUUUUUCAGUUCUACGGUUUUGGAGAUAUCCCAUAUUGAAAGUCUACUGAUUUUGUCCAUAGUAUUAUUAUUAUUGAACUUACUUCAUUUGCUUCCAGAUGCUGCUGCAGCUGGGUGAGCUGAAUGAGCAGCCGGACGUGAACCGGGAGAUAUCUCAGGACGACUGCCAAGAUCGCCGUUGAAGAUUUACGGCUACUACGGCUAGCCCAAAGGUACACACUCAAUGGUCCAAUUUCUUAUCCUUAUCCUGCCAACCGCGGAUCUGUCCUAGCGAGACGCGUGCUGGCCCGGCCGCGGCAGCUGCGGGGCGGGCGCUCCGCCCUCCUCAUUGUACUGCGCUGCCAAACUAGAAUUGGGAGCUUUUUAUAUAAGUAUAAAUAUGCUAUUUUUGUCCA